rnacentral:rRNA from 1 species
AGGAUUAACGCUGGCGGCGUGCCUGACACAUGCAAGUCGAACGAGGCCGCAAGGCCUAGUGGCGGACGGGUGAGUAAUGCGUAGGAAUCUACCCACGAGUGGGGGGAUAGCCCGGAGAAAUCCGGAUUAAUACCGCAUAUGCCCUACGGGGUAAAGCGGGGAGUCGUAAGACCUCGCGCUGGUGGAUGAGCCUACGUCCGAUUAGUUAGUUGGUGGGGUAAAGGCCUACCAAGGCUACGAUCGGUAGCUGGUCUGAGAGGACGACCAGCCACACUGGGACUGAGACACGGCCCAGACUCCUACGGGAGGCAGC